AAAAAUAAGCUAAAUUAAGCUUUUGGGUUCAUACCCCAAAUAUAAAGGAAAUCCC
rnacentral:tRNA from 1 species